AAUCCAUAAUCAAUCCAAAUUAACCGAUUUUACUAAAAUAUCUUUCAAAAUACAUGCAACCUGAUAUUACUAAGAUACAUUAAAAAACGACAUAAUCUAUUAAAAUGAUGAAGAAAUGUGGCUAUACUUAAUAAACUGUUGAUAGAACCAUUUGCAUUUGGCUAACUAUGCAUCAGGAUAGUUACCAAAUAAUCAGAAAAUGUCCAUCUUUCUGAGGGGAAUAGAGACUUUCAGCGAUUCUAC